rnacentral:rRNA from 1 species
GGCCUAACACAUGCAAGUCGAGCGGUAACAUUUCUAGCUUGCUAGAAGAUGACGAGCGGCGGACGGGUGAGUAAUGCUUGGGAACAUGCCUUUAGGUGGGGGACAACCAUUGGAAACGAUGGCUAAUACCGCAUAAUGUCUACGGACCAAAGGGGGCUUCGGCUCUCGCCUUUAGAUUGGCCCAAGUGGGAUUAGGUAGUUGGUGAGGUAAUGGCUCACCAAGCCGACGAUCCCUAGCUGGUUUGAGAGGAUGAUCAGCCACACUGGAACUGAGACACGGUCCAGACUCCUACGGGAGGCAGCAGUGGGGAAUAUUGCACAAUGGGCGCAAGCCUGAUGCAGCCAUGCCGCGUGUGUGAAGAAGGCCUUCGGGUUGUAAAGCACUUUCAGUUGUGAGGAAAGGUUAGUAGUUAAUACCUGCUAGCUGUGACGUUAACAACAGAAGAAGCACCGGCUAACUCCGUGCCAGCAGCCGCGGUAAUACGGAGGGUGCGAGCGUUAAUCGGAAUUACUGGGCGUAAAGCGUACGCAGGCGGUUUGUUAAGCGAGAUGUGAAAGCCCCGGGCUCAACCUGGGAACUGCAUUUCGAACUGGCAAACUAGAGUGUGAUAGAGGGUGGUAGAAUUUCAGGUGUAGCGGUGAAAUGCGUAGAGAUCUGAAGGAAUACCGAUGGCGAAGGCAGCCACCUGGGUCAACACUGACGCUCAUGUACGAAAGCGUGGGGAGCAAACGGGAUUAGAUACCCCGGUAGUCCACGCCGUAAACGAUGUCUACUAGGAGUUCGGUUUUUCGGAACUGUCUUCCAAAGCUAACGCAUUAAGUAGACCGCCUGGGGAGUACGGCCGCAAGGUUAAAACUCAAAUGAAUUGACGGGGCCCGCACAAGCGGUGGAGCAUGUGGUUUAAUUCGAUGCACGCGAAGAACCUUACCUACACUUGACA